rnacentral:rRNA from 1 species
AUUGAACGCUGGCGGCAGGCCUAACACAUGCAAGUCGAGCGGAUGAAGGGAGCUUGCUCCUGGAUUCAGCGGCGGACGGGUGAGUAAUGCCUAGGAAUCUGCCUGGUAGUGGGGGAUAACGUCCGGAAACGGGCGCUAAUACCGCAUACGUCCUGAGGGAGAAAGUGGGGGAUCUUCGGACCUCACGCUAUCAGAGGAGCCUAGGUCGGAUUAGCUAGUUGGUGGGGUAAAGGCCUACCAAGGCGACGAUCCGUAACUGGUCUGAGAGGAUGAUCGGUCACACUGGAACUGAGACAGGGUCCAGACUCCUACGGGAGGCAGCAGUGGGGAAUAUUGGACAAUGGGCGAAAGCCUGAUCCAGCCAUGCCGCGUGUGUGAAGAAGGUCUUCGGAUUGUAAAGCACUUUAAGUUGGGAGGAAGGGCAGUAAGUUAAUACCUUGCUGUUUUGACGUUACCAACAGAAUAAGCACCGGCUAACUUCGUG